rnacentral:rRNA from 1 species
GGUGAAAAGCACCCCGGAAGGGGAGUGAAAUAGAACCUGAAACCGUGUGCUUACAAGUAGUCAGAGCCCGUUAAUGGGUGAUGGCGUGCCUUUUGUAGAAUGAACCGGCGAGUUACGAUUUGAUGCAAGGUUAAGCAGUAAAUGUGGAGCCGUAGCGAAAGCGAGUCUGAAUAGGGCGUUUAGUAUUUGGUCGUAGACCCGAAACCAGGUGAUCUACCCUUGGUCAGGUUGAAGUUCAGGUAACACUGAAUGGAGGACCGAACCGACUUACGUUGAAAAGUGAGCGGAUGAACUGAGGGUAGCGGAGAAAUUCCAAUCGAACCUGGAGAUAGCUGGUUCUCUCCGAAAUAGCUUUAGGGCUAGCCUCAAGUGAUGAUUAUUGGAGGUAGAGCACUGUUUGGACGAGGGGCCCCUCUCGGGUUACCGAAUUCAGACAAACUCCGAAUGCCAAUUAAUUUAACUUGGGAGUCAGAACAUGGGUGAUAAGGUCCGUGUUCGAAAGGGAAACAGCCCAGACCACCAGCUAAGGUCCCAAAAUAUAUGUUAAGUGGAAAAGGAUGUGGCGUUGCCCAGACAACUAGGAUGUUGGCUUAGAAGCAGCCAUCAUUUAAAGAGUGCGUAAUAGCUCACUAGUCGAGUGACACUGCGCCGAAAAUGUACCGGGGCUAAACAUAUUACCGAAGCUGUGGAUUGUCCUUUGGACAAUGGUAGGAGAGCGUUCUAAGGGCGUUGAAGCAUGAUCGUAAGGACAUGUGGAGCGCUUAGAAGUGAGAAUGCCGGUGUGAGUAGCGAAAGACGGGUGAGAAUCCCGUCCACCGAUUGACUAAGGUUUCCAGAGGAAGGCUCGUCCGCUCUGGGUUAGUCGGGUCCUAA